rnacentral:rRNA from 1 species
AGCGAACGCUGGCGGCAGGCCUAACACAUGCAAGUCGAACGAACCCUUCGGGGUGAGUGGCGGACGGGUGAGUAACACGUGGGAACGUGCCUUUAGGUUCGGAAUAACGCAGGGAAACUUGUGCUAAUACCGAAUGUGCCCUUCGGGGGAAAGAUGUAUCGCCUUUAGAGCGGCCCGCGUCUGAUUAGCUAGUUGGUGAGGUAAAGGCUCACCAAGGCUACGAUCAGUAGUUGGUCUGAGAGGAUGACCAGCCACAUUGGGACUGAGACACGGCCCAAACUCCUACGGGAGGCAGCAGUGGGGAAUCUUGCGCAAUGGGCGAAAGCCUGACGCAGCCAUGCCGCGUGGAUGAUGAAGGUCUUAGGAUUGUAAAAUCCCUUCACCGGUGAAGAUAAUGACUGUAGCCGGAGAAGAAGCCCCGGCUAACUUCGUGCCAGCAGCCGCGGUAAAAC